CCUACGGGAGGCAGCAGUGGGGAAUCUUGCGCAAUGGGGGCAACCCUGACGCAGCCAUGCCGCGUGAAUGAUGAAGGCCUUAGGGUUGUAAAGUUCUUUUGCCCGUGACGAUGAUGACGGUAACGGGAGAAUAAGCUCCGGCUAACUUCGUGCCAGCAGCCGCGGUAAUACGAAGGGGGCUAGCGUUGUUCGGAAUUACUGGGCGUAAAGCGCGCGCAGGCGGUUUCGAUAAGUUAGGGGUGAAAUCCCUGGGCUCAACCCAGGAAUGGCCUUUAAGACUGUCGAGCUAGAGGACGAGAGAGGUGAGUGGAAUUCCCAGUGUAGAGGUGAAAUUCGUAGAUAUUGGGAAGAACACCGGUGGCGAAGGCGGCUCACUGGCUCGUUUCUGACGCUGAGGCGCGAAAGCGCGGGGAGCAAACAGGAUUAGAUACCCUGGUAGUCCACGCCCUAAACGAUGAGUGCCAGGUGUCGGGAAGCUUAGCUUCUCGGCGCCGCAGCUAACGCCUUAAGCACUCCGCCUGGGGAGUACGGCCGCAAGGUUAAACUCAAAGGAAUUGACGGCUGNGAGNGCGACGACGACGACGAGGGAGUAG
rnacentral:rRNA from 1 species